UACGUAGGGACCGAGCGUUGUCCGGAAUCAUUGGGCGUAAAGAGCGUGUAGGCGGCCACUUAAGUCCUGCGUGAAAUCCUGCGGCCCAACCGCAGGCGGUCGUGGGAAACUGGGUGGCUAGAGUGCGGGAGAGGAGAGUGGAAUUCCUGGUGUAGCGGUGGAAUGCGCAGAUAUCAGGAAGAACACCCGUGGCGAAGGCGGCUCUCUGGAACGCAACUGACGCUGAGACGCGAAAGCGUGGGGAGCAAACAGG
rnacentral:rRNA from 1 species